AGGACGAACGCUGGCGGCGUGCUUAACACAUGCAAGUCGAGCGGUAAGGCUCCUUCGGGAGUACACGAGCGGCGAACGGGUGAGUAACACGUGAGCAAUCUGCCCUUCACAUCGGGAUAACCCCCGGAAACGGGAGCUAGUACCGGAUACGACCACUUCAGGCAUCUGAUGGUGGUGGAAAGUUCUGGCGGUGAAGGAUGAGCUCGCGGCCUAUCAGCUUGUUGGUGGGGUAAUGGCCCACCAAGGCUUCGACGGGUAGCCGGCCUGAGAGGGUGACCGGCCACACUGGGACUGAGACACGGCCCAGACUCCUACGGGAGGCAGCAGUGGGGAAUAUUGGACAAUGGGCGAAAGCCUGAUCCAGCAACGCCGCGUGAGGGAUGACGGCCUGGUGUAACUCUUCUAGCGCAGACGAAGCGAAAGUGACGGUAUGCGCAGAAGAAAGACGACCGGCCAACUAACGUGACCAGCAAGCCGAC
rnacentral:rRNA from 1 species